rnacentral:rRNA from 1 species
AGGACGAACGCUGGCGGCGUGCUUAACACAUGCAAGUCGAGCGGUAAGACCUUUCGGGGUACACGAGCGGCGAACGGGUGAGUAACACGUGGGUGAUCUGCCCUGCACUUCGGGAUAAGCCUGGGAAACUGGGUCUAAUACCGGAUAUGACCUCCUAUCGCAUGGUGGGGUGGUGGAAAGAUUUAUCGGUGCAGGAUGGGCCCGCGGCCUAUCAGCGUUGUUGGUGGGGUAAUGGCCUACCAAGGCGACGACGGGUAGCCGACCUGGAGAGGGUGACCGGCCACGACUGGGACCUGAGACGACGGCCCAGACUCCGUACGGGAGGCAGCAGGUGGGGAAUAUUGGCACAAGUGGGCGAAAGCCUGAUGCAGGCGACGCCGCGUGGAGGAGUGACCGGCCGUUUCGGGUUACGUUAAACCGUUCUUUCAGUCGACGGACGAG